rnacentral:tRNA from 1 species
GGCGACAUGGGGGAAUUGGUAGACCCGUUGGACUUAAAAUCCAAUGGCCCGAAGGGGCUGUGUGAGUUCGAGUCUCACUGUCGCUA